GUCAUUGGGUAUCCUUAUGAGGUCAUGGAGCAGGCGGAGUGUGAGGAGGAGAUUGAUAAAGGUGAAGGAUGACAGGCUAAAAUUGGAUAGUGGAAACCAGAAUUUAGAAUUUUAAAGUAGGCACAACUCCAGGUGUCACCAAAGUCCACAGAGUAGUCAUGGGAGUGGACCAACAGUCACUGGAACAAGAAGUCAGAAGUGGAUUGGACCUGAAAGGCAAGAGAGUAGGAGCCAGCGUCUGUCAUUAGGAUCCUGACCAUCCCAGUUGCCGGGCACGCUCACCCUUCUCCUUCCACCAGGGGGCAGGGCUCGUUUACAUAUGGAUUUCGCCGCGCAGAUGCCAGGGGCGGAACCUCCUCUCCAGCCUGGGUCCCUGCUGUCCUCAGCUUGAGAAGAGAAGGGUAUGGUGCCUUCAAGGAACUGGAAGAAAACCAUUAUUGCUGGUGGAUUGUAUUGCUGCUUUUAAUGGAGCGAAUCCCCCCUCCCCACCAGAAACAGCAAAGAAACAGCAACUGGAAGAUAACAGAAUCAUGAAAGCAUGAUUGAAGAACAAAAAAAUGGGACAGCUGACACUUCCACUUCUGUUAAGAGUUCUUUGCCAGCCACAUUAUUGGAGAAAGUGGAAGAUGGACUUUUGAUUGGAGAAAAAUCUUGGCAGGAAGAUCACCAUGGAGCGUAGAAGGGUGAGGAUACACCUAGUGCCUCAGGAUACAUGAAUGGAUAAAGUAGACGAAGAUCAAGCGUUGUCUUUCUGGAGUGUACCGUCUAGCAGGGGAAAAGGAUGACUAAUAAUGAAUACAUUGUAUAGUAAGUUGGAAACAGUGCUGUGAAAAAAAGAAAAAGUGGAAAACCUAGGCAAUACCAUUCAGGACACAGGCAU
rnacentral:lncRNA from 1 species